ACACGAAGUGAGUGGCGAACGGGUGAGUAACACGUGGGUAACCUGCCCAGAAGUAGGGGAUAACACCUGGAAACAGAUGCUAAUACCGUAUAACAGAGAAAACCGCAUGGUUUUCUUUUAAAAGAUGGCUCUGCUAUCACUUCUGGAUGGACCCGCGGCGUAUUAGCUAGUUGGUGAGGUAAAGGCUCACCAAGGCAGUGAUACGUAGCCGACCUGAGAGGGUAAUCGGCCACAUUGGGACUGAGACACGGCCCAGACUCCUACGGGAGGCAGCAGUAGGGAAUCUUCCACAAUGGACGCAAGUCUGAUGGAGCAACGCCGCGUGAGUGAAGAAGGGUUUCGGCUCGUAAAGCUCUGUUGUUAAAGAAGAACGUGGGUAAGAGUAACUGUUUACCCAGUGACGGUA
rnacentral:rRNA from 1 species